rnacentral:rRNA from 1 species
GAUGAACGCUAGCUACAGGCUUAACACAUGCAAGUCUACUUGAUCCUUCGGGUGAUGGUGGCGGACGGGUGAGUAACGCGUAAAGAACUUGCCCUGCAGUCUGGGACAACAUUUGGAAACGAAUGCUAAUACCGGAUAUUAUGUGAGUUUCGCAUGAAAUUCAUAUGAAAGCUAUAUGCGCUGCAGGAGAGCUUUGCGUCCUAUUAGCUAGUUGGUGAGGUAACGGCUCACCAAGGCGAUGAUAGGUAGCCGGCCUGAGAGGGUGAACGGCCACAAGGGGACUGAGACACGGCCCUU